UCUCUCCUAUCAGUUCACCAAUAAGGCCUGGUAGGGACCUGCCGAGCCUCUGGAUAAAUUGUAUUUUCCAAGGGUUAAUUAAGCUGUCUUGAGCUUCUGCAUGAAGAGGAACAAACUGGCACUUGCAGCGCUUUCUGAAACCUGCUGUCGACAUUACAGUCCCUGCUGCUUUUAGCUGUAUCGAUCCGAUGCCUGACCUGUGAAAUCCUUGAUGGCUGCUAACACUAGAAGCUUACUGGAGCUUUCCAAGGGAGCUUCGGGACAGCUUGUGUAGUCAGUGGUCCUCACAUUUCCUCACAUGUUUCUGAACGAAUUAUAAGAACACGAUAAACCGUAUUUACAGUCUUCUCUCUUUAAAACUAUGAAAAUUGUCUUCUGCCAUUUAAGAUCCAGUUUCUGGAUUAAUUGCAUGAACUCAAAGGAGUAGCAAGUUGGUGAAACCUAGAGAAUCGGCUUCUGAAAGCUUCAUUUCUAAAGCAUCAAGAAUAUUAUUCUCAUUGGAAAAUUGCUGCUGAUACCCAUCAAGUGCCUGCUUUCUUCUCCAACCAGAGCAUAAAGAGUCCAUGUUUUUACCCUCUGAGCGUGCCUGUCAUGAGAUGUUCUUCACAAAUCCUUAGAGACCAUAUUCUUCAGCUCCUGACCCAAUCUUGUGUGGAUCUUCACACAAAGAGAAAUCAUAUCUGGACCAGAUGAUAAUCCUGGCAUUCCUGACAUUUACAUUGGAUGGAAUGACUUAAGGGGACUUGGGAAUGUCUUCCCUGGGGACAUAUUGAGUGUAUUCUAUAUGUAGGAAGAAGGGAGAAAUGGAUAUUGAGUGACAAGCAGUAUGGGUUUUGGCAGUGACAAUAAGACACCAGAUUUUCCAUGAUGCCCCUGUAUAUUUCUUUGCUUUGCUGAACUUUCUUUGCUCUGAUAGGUCUUGAUUUUAUCAUUCUCAAACUUUCAUUCUCUCUUUCCAUAUGAGAGUAUUAGACAUUACUGCCUGUUGCCAUUGGGGCUUACAGUGUUUCCUUCCAGAGCAGUACACAUCCCUGUCCAUGUGGCUAGUUUUGAACAAGGAGAUAUAAAGAGAAAUGAUGGUGCCAAUUUUGAGCAGAAGUUUAAAGAGCCAUUUGGUUUUUUCUACUCAUUUAUUUGAAUCCAUGAAGAGGAGUAGGAUGGAGGAAAUGUGUUUCGAGUAGGAUGAAUAGCAUGAGCAGAAGCUGAAAUACAGCACUGAGCAUACUUCACAGGUAUGGUGAACAGAACUAAUUGGGAGGACAGAGCUGCGUUAAGGUAGUUUACACACAACAGGUACACACACACAUUCCACAGAAAAGUGAAAAUUAUGUAUCAGACCCUACACUGGUAGUAUGGUAACAGUUCAUAGGCGCCAGUCUAGGCAAACAGUCUCCAGCAGGGAAGUCUAUAAAGGGCCACCCAGUGGAGCUAUCUAUCCAUGAGAAAUCCUGCAGCAGGAAAUUUGAGGAGGCACAUGCAUACUUUUAUAUUCUGGGUAUGAUUAUAAUUUAGAAUAGAAAGUAUCCAAGAGAAAUUAUAGUCAACUUAAUACAAGAUCUUUUUUUUUUUUUUAGAUUUUUACUUACUUAUUCAUGAGAGACACAGAGAGAGAGAAAGAGAGAAAGAGAGAGAGGCAGAGACACAGGCAGAGGGAGAAGCAGGCUCCAUGUGGGGAGCCCGAUGUGGGACUCGAUCCCGGGACUCCAGGAUCACGCCCUGGGCUGAAGGCAGGUGCUAAACGUUGAGCCACCCAGGGAUCCCCAACACAAGAUCUUUUUGAAAUUAGAAAGUAUGGCUCUCAUUGCUUAAUUUGAUAUUGCUUGGUUUUUAAAUUUGACACGAGUUGGUGAAUUCAGAAUCCUUUUCCAUAUAAAUACUGAGCAGGCAUUUCCAGAGCAUUCCUGCUGUGUCACUCACUAGUUGGGUAACCGUGAACAAGUUAAUGAAUCCUUGCUGAAUUUCGGUUUUCUCAUGUGUAAACUAGCUUUUAAUAACAGCGCCAAAUUCACAGGAGUUUUGCUAGAAAUAAAUCUGCUAGAAUAAGUGCAUGAAAAUCACUUAGCACAGUGCCUGGUACAUGUUAGGCAUUGUUACCUCUCCCCCUCUCUUUCCCCUUUUCCUCCUCCUCCUCCUCCUCCAUUUUUACAUUUGAAAAAAAAGGAACAAGGAAGAGGUGAUUUUUUUAAUAUAGUACCUGUUUAUCUAACACAUGAACUAAUGAAUUAAUAUUUUUCUUCUAGAAUAUUUCUGGUGUUUGGUUUUGUUCUGGAUUCUUUGUGUACAUAUAGCUAAAGUGUUGUGCAUAUUGUAGGAAUACCCCUUCCCUCCAAACACAUCCACACAAAAUUAGCCACUGUUUAUCUAGUGUUAACAAUUAGAAUAAAGGAUAUAAUGUUGAAAAGAAAAAAAAAAGGAAACCUGGAGGUAGGGACGCCACACCGGACUGUAGCUGUAAACACCUCCACAAGAUGGGUGUCAUUAAGAACUAAGAUGCGAAUGUUGACAUUGGCAAACAUUUCCUGUUGCCUUUACAGACAUUGGUUUUGUUCAAACCCAUAACAUUUUUUGUUUUUGUUUUUGUUUUUCAUUUUGAGCAGGUGUAGGCAAACUACAGCCUACAAACCAAAUCUGGCCCACUGCCUGUUUUUGUAAAUAAAAUUUUAUUGAACAUAGCCACCACCUCCUCCCUCCAUUUCAUCCGUAUUGUCUAUGGCUGCUUUUUGCUACAAUGGUAGAGCUCAGUUGUCACAAUGAUACCAUAAGGGCCACGAAGCCUAUAAUGUUCACUAUCUGUUUCUACAAAAAAGAAACUGAUGACUCCCAGUUUAGAGGAAUGGCUGGAGAUGUAGAAAAAUAUUAUUUUUUUAAUUUCUAAGGCAAACUAUUUCUAACCCUUCUCUCUUGGCCAAAAGAUAGUUUGGAGAGAAAAAAGAAUCUUUCUUUUCUUACCUCUCUUUUGUUGUCUGGUGGUCUCAGGCUUAUCAUACCCUUGUCCUUCUAAGUAGCCAGCUUCAGAACCACAGUAGUAUACUCUUGUCUCUCACCAUGCCUAACAAAUUACAAUAUGUCUGUGGCAAAGUUUGUUCUCACGGAAGGGCCAAAAGUUCUGUGACCAUUAGGCAAUCAUGUCACAACUUCUAGAGAGCCUCUAGAGAGAAGCAAGACAGACUUCCUUUCCCUGUUUUGAAACAGACCUCCUUAUUCUUAGGUCUGAAAUCUAUCCUCAUGACCAUAAACUUUCCUCAUACAAUUGACUAGAUAAAGAUCGACAAGUAUAGUAUGCUUUUUGCCAUAAAGCUGGCGAAUAAUGAAAUCCAAUUGGAUACUCUUGCUUCCUAGACCUGUGCCUAGUGGUGUGGUCUGCUGGGUUGAUCGUGUCUUGUACACCCUCUUGGAUAUUUAAUGAUAAAUAAUAGGCCAGUAAGAAGUAUUCAAGCAUUCAGUUUGAUAGCUUCAGAAUGGCUAGCUACUAUGUGCAGUGGGAUUAUAAAAAUGGAUUCGGGGUUUGCUUCAGUUUAUCAAAAAGCUGUGAACUGUCCUUGAAACCCUGUGGAUUUUAAUUGCUUAUAAUGCCUAUCUAAAACGAUCCUAUGAAAAGUGAAUUUGAUGUUUUCCCCUUUUCAUGCAAGUAACAUUUUUUUUAAUAUAUAUAUAGAUAAGGGGGAAAACCUGCAGAAUUGUCAGAAAUGCUGCAUCCCACUUUAUGAACCCUGAAGUAAUGGCUUUACAAGAGGUACAUGCAGGAGCCUGUUAUUGACUGUGAAGGCAUUCUGUAUCGGUUGACUGUGAACUGAAGUAUCGUUUUCCCUCUCAUCCUGGCACCUGGAUAAUAUUAAAUUUGAACCUUUGAUUUGAUUGAUACAUCUCAGCAGCAGGACAUUUAGACAUUUAUGUCAUAAAACCAAAAUGAAAUAUUUUAUAUCACUGAACAUAGCCCUGCAAGGUACAGUAGUUAAAAUCAAAUGAAGUUAGCAUCAAUUUUACAGUUAUUUAAAAAGCAUACACACAGGCACACAUGUGCACAUAUACACAUAAACCCACCAUAGAAAUGCCCCCCUCUUUUUGUUUCAGAGUGACAUUUAGUAAAAACAUAAAGUUUACCUAAAGAAGCUGAGGUGGCAGCUUUAAAUGCAAUAAACAGGGACCUACUUACAUAUGCAAAACAGGCACUCACAGGUGCAAGAAAGGUAAUUGCUGGUGCAAAAUAUGCCAUUACCUGUUUUACAGGCACAACUGCCUGAUUUGUAAGGGCAACUAGCUGAUUUUUGUCUUCCUCUGCAUAUUUUUUAUGUACAAAUUAGUCGCUUUGGAAAAUUCGGCACCAAUAUUUCUCUGCUCAUAGGCCUAAAAUAUAUUAUGUAUAGCAAACAAUGGAAGCUUUACAGUCAGUCAGUGAAAUGCAUUUGUUGGCUAUUUUUAUUUGGAGAAAUUAACACACCGAAAGGCUCUCUGAAAUCUUAUUUUUCUUCCUCUGAUAACAAGAUUUUUUUUGUGUAGUCCAGUGUGUUUCAUUAGUGCUUUAAAAUUUGCUGAAGCCAGGCGGCAAGUUGCCUGCCUAUUAGUUUAACUGAGCGCCCAUCACAGCAGUACAUUAUGCAUUAU
rnacentral:lncRNA from 1 species